UACGAAGGGGGCUAGCGUUGUUCGGAUUUACUGGGCGUAAAGCGCACGUAGGCGGAUCGAUCAGUCAGGGGUGAAAUCCCAGGGCUCAACCCUGGAACUGCCUUUGAUACUGUCGAUCUGGAGUAUGGAAGAGGUGAGUGGAAUUCCGAGUGUAGAGGUGAAAUUCAUAGAUAUUCGGAGGAACACCAGUGGCGAAGGCGGCUCACUGGUCCAUUACUGACGCUGAGGUGCGAAAGCGUGGGGAGCAAACAGG
rnacentral:rRNA from 1 species